rnacentral:SRP_RNA from 1 species
GCCGGGCGUGGUGGCGCACGCCUGUAAUCCCAGCACUUGGGAGGCUGAGGCAGGAGGAUCGCUGUGAGUUCGAGAACAGCCUGGGCUGCAUAGUGAGUUUCAGGGCAGUCUUAACUACACAGUGAGACCCUGUCUCAA